CCUACGGGAGGCAGCAGUGGGGAAUUUUGGACAAUGGGCGCAAGCCUGAACCAGCCAAGUCGCGUGAAGGAUGACUGUCUUAUGGAUUGUAAACUUCUUUUAUACGGGAAUAACAAGAGCCACGUGUGGCUCCCUGCAUGUACCGUAUGAAUAAGCAUCGGCUAACUCCGUGCCAGCAGCCGCGGUAAUACGGAGGAUGCGAGCGUUAUCCGGAUUUAUUGGGUUUAAAGGGUGCGUAGGCGGCCUGUUAAGUCAGCGGUGAAAUCUAGGAGCUUAACUCCUAAAUUGCCAUUGAUACUGGCGGGCUUGAGUGUAGAUGAGGUAGGCGGAAUGCGUGGUGUAGCGGUGGAAUGCAUAGAUAUCACGCAGAACUCCGAUUGCGAAGGCAGCUUACUAAGGUACAACUGACGCUGAAGCACGAAAGCGUGGGUAUCAAACAGGAUUAGAUACCCGAGUAGUC
rnacentral:rRNA from 1 species